rnacentral:pre_miRNA from 2 species
AAAUUACUCCCUUUCAUUCAUAUUAUUUGUCUUAGAUUCGUCUAGAUACAUCCGUAUCUAGACAUGUUUUAGUGUUAGAUACAUACGUAUAUAGACAAAUCUAACACAAGUAAUAAGAAUCAGAGGGAGUACUUU